rnacentral:misc_RNA from 1 species
AAAGUCGUAACAAGGUUUCCGUAGGUGAACCUGCGGAAGGAUCAUUAACACGUAUCCACGUAUCAACCCCAUGUGCUCUUUGUCUGAGUACUCGCAAAAUGAAAGGUAGUGCCGAGAGCUGGAGUGGUGACUCGUUCGACUAGCUCUCGGUGCGUUCGGUGUGUCACAGCACCGAGCUGAGUAACUUUGCGGGUCGGUUUUUCUCGUGCUUCUCACUUCUAGCACGGGAAAUUAACCUUGUUUAUUCACAUUUUUAACCCAUUGUACAACUUUUUUCUAAUCUUGUGUAAUAGCUGGAAACGGCUGUUAACAUAAAUACGAAAUGCUUGACAACUCUUAACAACGGAUAUCUUGGUUCUC